AGUGAAGGAAUAUUUUGAAAAUCAAGCAGAGACAAACUAAGCCUUGACAUGAGCAUCACUAAACCUAUGCUCCCUUUUAAGAGAGAAAGAAAGAGGGUCCGUACCUCAUCUCAGGGGAGGAUUGAUGGAAGUCUCCGUUCCCUUCUCUGAGGGGAAAUUUUUUCCUCUCCCCCUACAGAACAUCUGAGUCAUCUCACCAUCUCUGCCUGGGGAAAUAACAUCAAACCCUAGACUACCACAGAGAAUGUGAAUUCUUCAAUUGCUCAUGAAGAAUGUGCUGGACACUGAGUACUCCUGCUAACUUCACUCACAGUGAGUUGUGCAAACAUCCUCACAAAGUGCAGUUAAAGCAACAGUGGGCAAUUAGAGCAACUGUGUUCUUGAAAGCUAUUGAGAAAUGGAAGACAAAAUGACUCAGAAUGCACCCUGAAAUUGUCUUGAAUUCUGUAGACCUCAAAGUACUAUGUAAAUUCAAUAGGUUGCAUUCAAUCUAACUACAAUUAUGGCAGAGUGAGUCAGACAACCUUUUCAAGAGCAACUCAUUUUCUUAUAUACACUCAUAGACAUUGCCAGAGUUAUGAACAGACAUUUUGGUUACAUGGGAGAACUGUACCUGGCUUCAGAUACACAAAAGCAAGAUGAGGAUAAGCUCAACAUUCUUGCAAAAGAAAAUGGCAUCACCAGCAUCUACUGGAUGAGACCAAAAUUAUUUCUCAGUCAUAAACAUUUGUGCCACCAGCAGCAAAGGGCUCACAUCCUUAACUUCUAGAGAUGGGAGCAUGCAGCUAGUAUCAGCUAAAUCUGUGCUCUAGACACUUUGAAGCACAAGCAUGAAGGUUUGGUAACUUACUUAAUACAGGAGUCAGGUGAACACCUAAACCUUUAGCUACCAUUUUCUAGAUUCAAAGCCAAGUCAAAAAAAAGAACUCACAGUUAUGCGCAUGUGUGAAAACCUUUCUUACAAUACUUAGUUUAUGCUUUGAGGGAUAACCACAGUAAAUUCUAGGAACCAACCUACUUGAAUGAGAUUAAGAAAACUUGUCUACUGUCAAUUUUUUUUUUUUCCAUUCACAAAUGACAUACUCCUGUUCCACUUUCAAUAUUGCCUUGUGCUCCAGAAGCAGCGAAUAAUAAGAACUAAACAGAGCAUCGGUAAUAUAGAAACGUGAAUUCUAGGAGAAAAGGGCUCGCAGGGCAUGCUAAGUAUUGUCCUCUAGCACCAUGGAGCCAAGUACAUGAUUUUGCCUUCUUCAAUUAGCAACAAGUAAGAGAAGCAACUUAUUUCGCUUUGAAGGACACACACAAACAUGCACUGAGAAAAAAAAAAAAAGAAAGAAGGAAGGAAAAAAAAGUUACGCAAUAAUAUCAAAUGACUCCAAAUAUCCAAGCCCCUCCUUCUCAUUACAGAAGGCUGGAUCACUAUGUCAUGCAUCAAUUUCAGCUGCAGUUGAAAGGAAGAGCUUUUUUUCCCCACAAGCUCUAACUAAAAAUUGCUCGUUGGAGUUCAGAUUUCUUUCCCAAAUCUAAAAUUAACUAUUCUGCAAACAUAUUUUGGGAGAAAAACAACAAAAGACUGUUAAAAUGAGCAAACCUCUGAUUUUUAAACAGUGUUACCAAGCGAGUACAUAGGGGAGGGGAGGCAAAUAAUUCCAAUUCUCUGCAAUAUGAUGUACAUUGUAUGGCAGGAGGGCCUAUGGUGUUUGUGUUCACAAGUUAUAUGUGCUGAAAUUUCCCCAGAGCAAUGGAAAUGACUCCAUCACCUUCUUUGAUCCUUAUAUUCUGGUUGUCUUAAUCUUUCCAUAUUUGUCAGAGUCAACACUGGAGGAUGAUGCCAGUUACUACAACUAUCUAAAUAUAUUUUAGCACCUAUUGUAAAACACCAGGAGGAAGCCAUUAAUAAUAAGUAAAUAAAUAUCUGAUCUCUUAAGGAACAACAAAGAAAACUUUUUAAUUUACUCUGGUUAAUUCACCAGUAUCUUCACACUGGUCUAUAAUUACAAUGAAAUUGACAAUUAGAAGACAAGGAAUGAAAAGUCAUCACCACCUGGCCCUCACUCUGAAGAGAAGAUAUGAAACUCCUUUCUUUCAGAUGGAGUACAGAAGGCAGACAACUAGGAAAAUAAUAACUUUUCUCCAACAUCUGUUUAAAUAUCAACCAUGCACUGUCUGCUCUCCUCAUUCCUGGAUACAAAAAUACUUUGCUGAUGACAAUUCUUGUGCAAGAAGAUUGCCUGGAGAGUGCUGAGGUACAAAUGAAUUCACCAGAAUGAUUACUGCUGCUUCAGGCAGACAUGCAAUCAGUGAUGUAUAAUACACAAACACAUUUUGCUAUAGCAACACUCACACUGAUAUAUGUUUGUACAGAGGUCCAAGCCCCCGUGGACUUGUUCAAACCUUCAUGAAAAGUUUCAGCUCACCAAUAAGAGAGCACGUACAACCCCGUGAGAGUGAGAUGGCCAAGGCACUGUGUACUGCAUGAAUUUCUUGUCACUUGGGAAUGAAACAAGUGAUGGGAAAUAUUUUGAGAGAAAUUCAAUGUGACUAAAGCUAUCCAGAACUAAAUAAAUAACAAUUGUAUUCAUGAAAACCCAACUUGUCCUGUGGCAAUGCACAGAAAUCAGUAAAUGUGGAGUUACUGCUCUCCUUGAACCAUUAGAUCAUCUCUGCUGAGGUAUGCAGACUUCAUACACUAUAUAUCCAGUACUGGCUGGCACGAGAUUAUUCCAUAAAAAGCAAGCAGACAAAUUUGCAUGCAUCCAAAGAUAAGUGGCAAUAAAAUCACAAGAAGAAAUACCCUGAACAUGUUCCUGUGUUCCUGAAAUAAUUUCCCAUCUUCUGAGGAUCCCAUAUGUUAUCUUUUAAUGGAAAAAAAUCAUACAAACACUAAUACAGAUUAAUGCUAA